GAUUGAACGCUGGCGGCGUGCCUAACACAUGCAAGUCGAGCGGUAACAGGUGUAGCAAUACAUGCUGACGAGCGGCGGACGGGUGAGUAACGCUUGGGAAUCUGGCCUAUUACGUGGGGGACAACCCGGGGAACUACGGGCUAAUACCGCAUACCGGCUCUACGGAGGAAAGCCGGGGGACCGCAAGGCCGUGGCGCUAAUAGAUGAGCCCAAGUCGGAUUAGCUAGUUGGUAGGGUAANGGCCUACCGAAGGCGACGAUCCGUAACUGGUCUGAGAGGACGACCAGUCACACCGGGAACUGAGACACGGGUCCCGGACUCCUACGGGGAGGCAGCAGUCGGGGAAUAUUGGACAAUGGGCGAAGGCCUGGAUUCCAGCGACGCCGCGUGGGU
rnacentral:rRNA from 1 species